UACAGAGGGGGCAAGCGUUGUUCGGAAUUACUGGGCGUAAAGGGCGCGUAGGCGGCCCGCUAAGUCGAACGUGAAAUCCCCGAGCUCAACUCGGGAACUGCGUCCGAUACUGGCGGGCUUGAAUCCGGGAGAGGGAUGCGGAAUUCCAGGUGUAGCGGUGAAAUGCGUAGAUAUCUGGAGGAACACCGGUGGCGAAGGCGGCGAUCUGGGAAGAUACUGACGCUGAGGUGCGAAAGCGUGGGGAGCAAACAGG
rnacentral:rRNA from 1 species